AAAAACAUCGCCUCUUGAAUUUAUAAGAGGUCCAGCCUGCCCAGUGACUCCUGUUUAACGGCCGCGGUAUUCUAACCGUGCAAAGGUAGCGUAAUCACUUGUUUUCUAAAUAAAGACUAGUAUGAAAGGCACCACGAGGAUUAAACUGUCUCCUUUUUCCAAUCAGUGAACCUAAUCUCCCCGUGAAGAAGCGGGAAUUUCAGUAUAAGACGAGAAGACCCUGUGGAGCUUAAAACAUCUAAACAUCUGCUUAAUCUUCCUUCACUUAGGUAUAUCACCCUCUUGCAAUUUGAUUUAAUGUUUUUGGUUGGGGUGACCGCGGAAAAAAACAGAUCCUCCGCAAUGAAGGGGAAUUCCCUAAACUGUAAGUCACAACUUUACGUAUCAAAAAAUUGACAUCAUCGACCCAAUAGUUGAUCAAUGAACUAAGUUACCCCAGGGAUAACAGCACAAUCCACUUCAAGAGUUCAUAUCGACAAGUGGGCUUAUGACCUCGAUGUUGGAUCGGGAUAUCCUAGUGGUGCAGCCGCUACUGAAGGUUCGUUUGUUCAACGAUUAAAACCCCACGUGAUCUGA
rnacentral:rRNA from 1 species